CUCACCCUGGCGUGGGGCUAACUCAGUAAAGGCUGUGGUUAAAACCUGAAGGAUUUGCACGCCAUGGAGAUGCUUGGCCACGUUGUGCCCAGGCUGGGUGGCACCUGGCAGGGUCCAGGGCACCGGCGUUAAAUGCAGGAGGACGAAAAUCUCUUUUGGAAGAAGCACCUGGAGCGGAGUGAACCCGCUCUCCAGCAGAUUUACUGUGCGCGGCGGUUAUUUGUUUAAGAUGCCUCCUGAGUGCUCCCCCCAUAUUGUGAAGCCCACUUAAGGAAACACUUCACCUGAAGCAGUCCUCUUGGCCGUGCCAGUCCAUACCGAGCCAGCGACCCAAGCUUUCAGCAGCCAGCCCCCAGCCAGACCCCGCUGACACUGUCUAUGCCGUUCAUUAUGGUAAUGGUGCAGAAAAUCCCUACAGAAAGCAGGUAAGAUAUGAGCUUUCCCUACUGGACUUUUAAAUAAACAACUGCACGGAGCCAGGGUUGGGAGUGGGAAUGAAAGUAAAGGGAAGUUGGAAUGAAAUCCUCCUCUU